AUUGAACGCUGGCGGCAGGCCUAACACAUGCAAGUCGAGCGGAUGACGGGAGCUUGCUCCUUGAUUCAGCGGCGGACGGGUGAGUAAUGCCUAGGAAUCUGCCUGGUAGUGGGGGACAACGUUUCGAAAGGAACGCUAAUACCGCAUACGUCCUACGGGAGAAAGCAGGGGACCUUCGGGCCUUGCGCUAUCAGAUGAGCCUAGGUCGGAUUAGCUAGUUGGUGAGGUAAUGGCUCACCAAGGCGACGAUCCGUAACUGGGCUGAGAGGAUGAUCAGACACACUGGAACUGAGGCACGGUCCAGACUCCUACGGGAGGCAGCAGUGGGGAAUAUUGGACAAUGGGCGAAAGCCUGAUCCAGCCAUGCCGCGUGUGUGAAGAAGGUCUUUGGAUUGUAAAGCACUCUAAGUUGGGAGGAAGGGCAGUAAGUUAAUACCUUGCUGUUUUGACGUUACCGACAGAAUAAGCACCGGCUAACUCUGUGCCAGCAGCCGCAGUAAAAC
rnacentral:rRNA from 1 species